rnacentral:rRNA from 1 species
AGUGAACGCUGGCGGUAGGCCUAACACAUGCAAGUCGAACGGCAGCACAGUAAGAGCUUGCUCUUACGGGUGGCGAGUGGCGGACGGGUGAGGAAUACAUCGGAAUCUACUUUUUCGUGGGGGAUAACGUAGGGAAACUUACGCUAAUACCGCAUACGACCUACGGGUGAAAGCAGGGGAUCUACGGACCUUGCGCGAUUGAAUGAGCCGAUGUCGGAUUAGCUAGUCGGCGGGGUAAAGGCCCACCAAGGCGACGAUCCGUAGCUGGUCUGAGAGGAUGAUCAGCCACACUGGAACUGAGACACGGUCCAGACUCCUACGGGAGGCAGCAGUGGGGAAUAUUGGACAAUGGGCGCAAGCCUGAUCCAGCCAUACCGCGUGGGUGAAGAAGGCCUUCGGGUUGUAAAGCCCUUUUGUUGGGAAAGAAAAGCAGCAGGUUAAUACCCCGCUGUUCUGACGGUACCCAAAGAAUAAGCACCGGCUAACUUCGUG